UUUAAAGUUCUUAGGGAAAUAACUGAUAUGGUUUGGCUGUGUCCCCACUCAAAUCUUGCAUUGUAACUCCCACAAUUCCCACAUGUCCUGGGAGGAACCCUGUGGGAGGUAAUUGAAUCAUGGGGGUGGGUCUUUCCUGUACUGUUCUUGUGAUAGUGAAUGGGUCUCAUGAGAUCUGAUGGUUUUAAAAAACAGGAGUUUCUCUGCAAAAGCCCUCUCUUUGAGUGCCGCCAUCCACAUAAGAUUAACUUGCUCUUCCUUGCCUUCCACCGUGAUUGUGAGGCCUCCCCAGCCAUGUGGAACUACACAAUCGGGGCUUACUGCAACCUCCACCUCCCAGGUUCAAGUGAUCCUCCUGCCUCAGCCUCUCAAGUAGCUGGGACUACAGGAUCCUUCAAUGUCUAGAAGAUUGCCACAAUUUGUUAUGUUAGGGUCAAAUCAAUGACUAUACAGGCACAGCAAGAAAACUAACAAGUGUUUCUGAGUAAUGAUUAUGGUCUUCCCUGAAAACAAAGACAAGCAAUUCUUUAAGAAAGCUUAAAACGGCCAUUGAACUCUGAACCAGAGCCCAAAUAAUGAAUAUCAAGCUACCUCCUCAACAAGAAAUGUUAUCCCAGCAGUGCAGCUGUGAGCUAAUUAAACAGCCCAGAUCAUUGUGCUAAACUUUAGUACUGCAUUUACAGAAUUAAUUCAGAGGACAUCUUAUUAAACUCUGGGGUUUAUCAGAAGAAGGCAGCCUCUUUUUUUUGAGCAGCAUUUAAAAAAUUAACAUACUGGAUAAGCUGCUUAUUAUAGAUGGAGCCUAUGACAUCCUUCAAGUACAUGCAAAAACUAAGCAAUGAAUUUCUAAGCAAAAUAAUGAAGCUAUUGCACUCUGAGACCAAAAUGUAAAAAUAGUACCUUAGAUAUCCUGAGAGCACUUUCAAAAAAAAUUAUAUUCUAUAUGGUUAUUUCUAAAGUCCUGAAAGACAUACUGAUGAUGACUAAUAUGCUGGAAUCUAGCAUAUAUAUAUAUGUGUGUGUGUGUGUGAGAGAGAGAGAGACAGAGAGAGAGAGAGAGAGAAAUAUGUAGCAAUUCUAUAUUUAAUUAACUUGGAAAUCAGUAAUAACUGGCAUGUGUAAGACAAGAAUAUUUUAAAUUAUUGUGAAGUAUAAUACUUUCCCUCUUAAUUAGUCUUAAUAAAACUUGGGCUUUAAAAUUUAUAUCUAGAAAUCUAAAUCAUAAACAAAAUUCCUACUUUAUUGUAAAUGCUGAUGGCUGUCAUUAUUUAAGUUAUUAUGCAUGGGCAGUAAUGGUAGGAAUCAGAUAUGGAGACAUUUAUGACUGGAAACUUUGUGGAGGGCAUAAAAUAUGUUACAUUAUUUUAAGUUUGUUGAUGUAGUGGACUCAAGAAGAUAAAACAAAUCAGUGAAUUCUUUACAAUCCUAGUCACUCAUCUUUAAAACAGGGAGAGCAACACUUAUCUUACAUUAUUUUCAGUACUGCAACAAAAUAAGAUAGCGGUUUUUGAAUAGUUCAAUAAUUCUAACACUUGUAAAGUAACGGAUAAAAAUAAGAGAGUCCUGAAAUAAAGCAGCAUACCUACAACCAUCUGAUCUUUGACAAAGUAGACAAAAACAAGCAGCAGAGAAAAGAUUCCCUAUUCAAUAAAUGAUGCUGGCAACACAAAAAGAAAACUUAAGGCCAAUAUCCUUGAUGAAUAUCAAUGCAAAAAUCCUCAUCAAAAUACUGGCAAACUAAAUCCAGCAGCACAUCAAAAAGUGUAUCUACCACAAUCAAGUAGGCCUUAUUUCUGAGAUGCAAGUUUGGUUCAACAUAUGCAAAUCAAUAAAUGUGAUUCAUCACAUAAGCAUAAGACAAAAGCCACAUGAUCACCUCAAUAGAUGCUGAAAAGCUUUUGAUAAAAUUCAGCACCCAUUUAUGUUAAAAACUCUCAAUAAACUAUGUAUUGAAGGAACAUACCUGAAAAUAAAAAGAACCAUCUAUGACAAACCCACAUCUAACAUCAUACUGGAUGGGCAAAAGCUGGAAAUGUUCCCUUGAAAACUGGCACAAGACAAGGAUGCCCUCUCUCACCACUCCUAUUCAACAGUGUUGAAAGUCCUGGCCAGAGCAAUCAGUCAAGAGAAAGAAGUAAAUGGCAUCCAAAAAGGAAAAGAAGUCACAACUAUCUUUAUUUUCAGGUGACAUAAUUCUGUAUCUAGAAAACUCCAUAGUCUCAGCUCAAAAGCUACUUAAGCUGAUAAACAACUUCAGUGAAAUCUCAGGAUAAAAAUCAAUGUACAAAAAUCACUAGCAUUCCUAUACACCAACAACAGUCAAGCUGAAAGCCAAAUCAGGAACACAAUCUUAUUCACAAUUGUCACAAAAAGAAUAAAAUACCUAGGAAUCCAGCUAACAGGGAGGUGAAAGAUCUCUGCAAGGAGAAUUAGAAAACAUUGCUCAAAGAUAUCAGAGAUGACACAGACAAAUGGAAAAAUAUUCCAUACUCAUGGAUGGGAAGAAUGCGUAUUAUUAAAAUGGCCAUACUGCCCAAAGCAAUUUAUAGAUUCAGCUAUUACUAUCAAACUACUAAUGAUAGUCUUCACAGAACUAGAAAAAAACUAUUUUAGAAUUCAUAUGGAACCAAAAUAGAGCCCAAAUAGCAAAGGCAAUUCUAAGCAGAAGGAAGAAAACUGGAAGCAUUAUGCUACCCAACUUCAAACUAUACCACAGAGCUUCAGGAACCAAAACAGCAUGGUACAGAUACAAAAACAGGCUCCCAGACAAAUGAAACAGAAUAGAGAGCCCAGACAGAAGGCUGCACACUUACCACCCAUCUAAUCUUUGACAACACUGACAAAAACGGCAAUGGGGAAAAGACUCAGGACUCCUUAUUCAAUAAAGGGUACUGGGAGAACUGGCUAGCUAUAUGCAGAAGAUUGAAACUGGACCCCUUCCUUACAUCAUAUACAAAGACCAAUGCAAGAUGGAUUAAAGACUUAAAUGUAAAACCCCAAACUACAAAAUCCCUGGAGGACAACCUGGGCAAUACCAUUCUGGACAUAGGAAAUGGCAAAGAUUUCAUGAUGAAGACUUCCAAAGCAGUUGUGAAAAUUGAUAAAUGGGAUCUAAUUGAACUAAAGAGCUUCUGCACAGCAAAAGAAACUAUCAACAAAGUAAAGAGUCGACCUAUAGCAUGGGAGAAAAUAUUUGCAAACUACGCAUCUGACAAAGAUCUAAUAUCCAGCAUCUAUAAAGAACUUAAACUUACAAGAAAAAAACAAACAUCUCCAUUAAAAAGUGGGCAAAGGACUUAAACAGACACUUUCCAAAAGACAUACAUGCAGCCAACAAUCAUAUUUUAAAAAGCUGAACAUCAUGGAUCAUUCGAGAAAUGCAAAUCAAUCUAUGGCCAUACCACCCUGAACUCAACCAAUCUCGUCUGAUCUCGGAAGCUAAGCAGGAUCAGGCCUGGUUAGUACUUGGAUGGGAGAAAUGCCAAUCAAAACCACAAUGAGAUACCAUCUCACACCAGUCAGAAUGGCUACAUUAAAAAGUCACAAAAUAACAUGCUAGUGAGAUUAUGGAGCAAAACGAAUGCUUAUACACUGUUGGUGAGAGUGUAAGUUGGUUCAAUUAUUGUGGAAAACAGUGUGAUGAUUACUCAAAGACCUAAAAACAGAACUACCAUUCAACCUAGCAAUCCCAUUACUGGAUAUAUACCCAAAGGAAUACAUAUUAUUCUACCAUAAGGACACAUUCUUGUGUAUGUUCAUUGCAGCAUGAUUCACAACAGCAAAGACAUGGAAUCAACUUAAAUGCCAUCAAUAGUUGACUGGAUAAAGACAAUGUGGUACAUAUACACUAUGGAAUACUAUCAAACCACAAAAAAAGAAUGAGAUCAUGUCAUUUGACAGAACAUGGAUGGAGCUGGAGGCCAUUAUUCUUAGCAAACUAAUGCAGAAACAGAAAACCAAAUAUUGCAUGUUCUUAUUUAUAAGUAGAAGCCAAAUGAUGAGAGCACAUGGACACACAGAGGAAAACAACAGACACUGGGGCCUACUGGAGGGUGGAGAGUGGGAGAAGGGAAAGGAUCAGAAAAAAUAACUCAUGGGUACUAGGCUUAAUACUUGGGUGACAAAAUAAUCUGUACAACAAACCCCCGUGACAUGAGUUUACCUAUGUAACAAACAUGCACCUGUACCCCUGAACUUAAAAUAAAAGUUAAAAAAUAAAAACAACAAACCAGCAAAACAAACAUUAUACUAAAAAUAAUUUAAAAAUGGUGCUGGGAUAACAGGCUAGCCACAUGCAGAAGAUUGAAACUGGAUCCCUUCCUUACACUAUGUACAAAAAUCAACUCAAGAUGGAUUAAAGACUUAAAUGUAAAAACCUAAAACUGUAAAAUCUCUAAAAGAUAACCUGAGAAAUAUAUUUCUGGGCACAGGCCCUGGCAAAGAUUUCAUGAAAAAGACACCAAAAGCAAUUGCAACAAAAACAAAAAUUGACAAAUGGGACCUAAUUAAACUAAAGAGCUUCUGUGCAGCAAAAGAAACUAUCAAUAGAGUAAACUGACAACCUAUAGAAUGGGAGAGAAUAUUUGCAAACUAUGAAUCCAACAAUGGUCUAAUAUCCAGCAUCUAUAAGGAACUUAAGCAAAUUAACAAGCAAAAAAUGAAAAA